UGGCCCAGUGGUUAAAGCACUUGGCUGCUAACCAAAAGGUUGGUGGUUCGAACCCACC
rnacentral:tRNA from 1 species